GACGAACGCUGGCGGCGUGCUUAACACAUGCAAGUCGAACGGAAAGGCCCUGCUUUUGUGGGGUGCUCGAGUGGCGAACGGGUGAGUAACACGUGAGUAACCUGCCCUUGACUUUGGGAUAACUUCAGGAAACUGGGGCUAAUACCGGAUAGGAGCUCCUGCUGCAUGGUGGGGGGUGGAAAGUUUCGGCGGUUGGGGAUGGACUCGCGGCUUAUCAGCUUGUUGGUGGGGUAGUGGCUUACCAAGGCUUUGACGGGUAGCCGGCCUGAGAGGGUGACCGGCCACAUUGGGACUGAGAUACGGCCCAGACUCCUACGGGAGGCAGCAGUGGGGAAUAUUGCACAAUGGGCGGAAGCCUGAUGCAGCAACGCCGCGUGCGUGAUGACGGCCUUCGGGUUGUAAACCGCUUUCGCCUGUGACGAAGCGUGAGUGACGGUAAUGGGUAAAGAAGCACCGGCUAACUACGUG
rnacentral:rRNA from 1 species